ACUCGCCUAAUGGUAAGGCACUUGACUCAAAAUCAAGCGAUUGCGGGUUCAAUUCCCGCGUAUCACCA
rnacentral:tRNA from 1 species